CAGCAGCCGCGGUAAUACAGAGGAUGCAAGCGUUAUCCGGAAUGAUUGGGCGUAAAGCGUCUGUAGGUGGCUUUUCAAGUCCGCCGUCAAAUCCCAGGGCUCAACCCUGGACAGGCGGUGGAAACUACCAAGCUGGAGUACGGGAGGGGCAGAGGGAAUUUUCGGUGCAGCGGUGAAAUGCGUUGAGAUCGGAAAGAACACCAACGGCAAAAGCACUCUGCUGGGCCGACACUGACACUGAGAGACGAAAGCUAAGGGAGCAAAUGGGAUUAGAGACCCCGGUAGUCCCUGUCUCUUAUAC
rnacentral:rRNA from 1 species